GGGGAAUAUUGCGCAAUGGGGGAAACCCUGACGCAGCAACGCCGCGUGAAGGAUGAAGGUUCUCGGAUUGUAAACUUCUUUGAUGAGGGACGAAGAAAAUGACGGUACCUCAAAAACAAGCCACGGCUAACUACGUGCCAGCAGCCGCGGUAAUACGUAGGUGGCGAGCGUUGUCCGGAAUUACUGGGUGUAAAGGGCGUGUAGGCGGGGAGACAAGUCAGAUGUGAAAUACCGAAGCUUAACUUCGGGGCUGCAUCUGAAACUGUUUUUCUUGAGUGUCGGAGAGGAAAGCGGAAUUCCCAGUGUAGCGGUGAAAUGCGUAGAUAUUGGGAGGAACACCAGUGGCGAAGGCGGCUUUCUGGACGACAACUGACGCUGAGGCGCGAAAGCGUGGGGAGCAAAC
rnacentral:rRNA from 1 species